ACUUUUCGGCAAUGGGCGACAGCCUGACCGAGCCACGCCGCGUGAAGGACGAAGGCCUUCGGGUCGUAGACUUUUGUCUUUGGUGACGAUAAUGACGGUACCCACGGAGGAAGCCCCGGCUAACUACGUGCCAGCAGCCGCGGUAAUACGUAGGGGGCGAGCGUUGUCCGGAAUUACUGGGCGUAAAGGCCCCGUAGGCGACCUGAUAAGUCAGAUGUGAAAUCCCAAGGCUUAACCGUGGGUUUGCAUUUGAAACUGUUGGGCUUGAGGGCAGGAGAGGAAAGCGGAAUUCCCAGUGUAGCGGUGAAAUGCGUAGAUAUUGGGAGGAACACCAGUGGCGAAGGCGGCUUUCUGGACUGCACCUGACGCUGAAGCGCGAAAGCUAGGGGAGCGAAC
rnacentral:rRNA from 1 species